rnacentral:rRNA from 1 species
GCCACUGCUAUUGGGGUUCGGCUAAGCCAUGCGAGUGGAGGGCGUCCCGCAAGGGAUGGCCCCGCAGACGGCUCAGUAACACGUCGUCAACCCACCUUAGGGUGGGGGACAACCUCGGGAAACUGAGGAUAAUCCCCUAUAGGCGGGGGAGGCUGGAAUGCGCCCCCGCUGAAAGCUCAGGCGCCCUAGGAUGGGACUGCGGCCCAUCAGGCUGUUGGUGGUGUGACG